rnacentral:rRNA from 1 species
GCUAGGAAUCUUGGGAAUGGGCGAAAGCCUGACCCAGCAACGCCGCGUGGGCGAUGAAGGCCUUCGGGUCGUAAAGCCCUUUUGUAGGGGACGAUGAUGACGGUACCCUGCGAAUAAGCCACGGCUAACUACGUGCCAGCAGCCGCGGUAAUACGUAGGUGGCAAGCGUUGUCCGGAUUUACUGGGCGUAAAGGGCGUGCAGGCGGUUUGUUAAGUUCAGGGUGAAAGCUCCCGGCUCAACUGGGAGAGGUCCUUGGAUACUGGCAGACUUGAGGAGGGUAGAGGAGAGUGGAAUUCCCGGUGUAGUGGUGAUAUGCGUAGAUAUCGGGAGGAACACCAGUGGCGAAGGCGGCUCUCUGGGCCCUACCUGACGCUGAGACGCGAAAGCGUGGGGAGCGAACCGGAUUAGAAACCCCUGUAGUCC